rnacentral:rRNA from 1 species
AUUGAACGCUGGCGGCAUGCCUUACACAUGCAAGUCGAACGGUAACGCGGGGCAACCUGGCGACGAGUGGCGAACGGGUGAGUAAUGCAUCGGAACGUGCCCAGUAGUGGGGGAUAGCCCGGCGAAAGCCGGAUUAAUACCGCAUACGACCUACGGGUGAAAGCGGGGGACCGUAAGGCCUCGCGCUAUUGGAGCGGUCGAUGUCAGAUUAGGUUGUUGGUGGGGUAAAAGCCUACCAAGCCGACGAUCUGUAGCUGGUCUGAGGGGACGACCAGCCACACUGGGACUGAGACACGGCCCAGACUCCUACGGGGGGCAGCAGUGGGGAAUUUUGGACAAUGGGGGCAACCCUGAUCCAGCCAUGCCGCGUGCGGGAAGAAGGCCUUCGGGUUAUAAACCGCUUUUGUCAGGGAAGAAACGCUCUGGGCUAAUACCCCGGGGUAAUGACGGUACCUGAAGAAUAAGCACCGGCUAACUACGUGCCAGCAGCCGCCGUAAUAC